rnacentral:rRNA from 1 species
GACGAACGCUGGCGGCGUGCUUAACACAUGCAAGUCGAACGGUAAGGCCCUUCGGGGUACACGAGUGGCGAACGGGUGAGUAACACGUGGGUGAUCUGCCCUGCACUUCGGGAUAAGCCUGGGAAACUGGGUCUAAUACCGGAUAGGACCACUGCCUGCAUGGGUGGUGGUGGAAAGCUUUUGCGGUGUGGGAUGGGCCCGCGGCCUAUCAGCCUGUUGGUGGGGUGAUGGCCUACCAAGGCGACGACGGGUAGCCGGCCUGAGAGGGUGACCGGCCACACUGGGACUGAGAUACGGCCCAGACUCCUACGGGAGGCAGCAGUGGGGAAUAUUACACAAUGGGCGCAAGCCUGAUGCAGCGACGCCGCGUGAGGGAUGACGGCCUUCGGGUUGUAAACCUCUUUCAGCACCGACGAAGCGCAAGUGACGGUAGGUGCAGAAGAAGGACCGGCCAACUACGUGCCAGCCGCCGCAGUAA